rnacentral:tRNA from 1 species
ACUUAAAUAGCUUAAUAAGAGCGUGAUAUUGAAGCUAUCAAGGUAAAGAAAUAUUUUUAAGUA